rnacentral:rRNA from 1 species
UCNNNNNNNNNNNNNNNNNNNNGACGAAAAAUGAAUACCAAGUCUCAAGAGUGAACACGUAAUUCAUUACGAAGUUUAAUUCAUUGAGCAUCAAACUUUUAAAUUGAAGAGUUUGAUCAUGGCUCAGAUUGAACGCUGGCGGCAGGCCUAACACAUGCAAGUCGAACGGUAACAGGAAGCAGCUUGCUGCUUUGCUGACGAGUGGCGGACGGGUGAGUAAUGUCUGGGAAACUGCCUGAUGGAGGGGGAUAACUACUGGAAACGGUGGCUAAUACCGCAUAACGUCGCAAGACCAAAGAGGGGGACCUUCGGGCCUCUUGCCAUCAGAUGUGNNNNNNNNNNNNNNNNNNNNGGCGACGAUCCCUAGCUGGUCUGAGAGGAUGACCAGCCACACUGGAACUGAGACACGGUCCAGACUCCUACGGGAGGCAGCAGUGGGGAAUAUUGCACAAUGGGCGCAAGCCUGAUGCAGCCAUGCCGCGUGUAUGAAGAAGGCCUUCGGGUUGUAAAGUACUUUCAGCGGGGAGGAAGGUGUUGUGGUUAAUAACCGCAGCAAUUGACGUUACCCGCAGAAGAAGCACCGGCUAACUCCGUGCCAGCAGCCGCGGUAAUACGGAGGGUGCAAGCGUUAAUCGGAAUUACUGGGCGUAAAGCGCACGCAGGCGGUCUGUCAAGUCGGAUGUGAAAUCCCCGGGCUCAACCUGGGAACUGCAUUCGAAACUGGCAGGCUUGAGUCUUGUAGAGGGGGGUAGAAUUCCAGGUGUAGCGGUGAAAUGCGUAGAGAUCUGGAGGAAUACCGGUGGCGAAGGCGGCCCCCUGGACAAAGACUGACGCUCAGGUGCGAAAGCGUGGGGAGCAAACAGGAUUAGAUACCCUGGUAGUCCACGCCGUAAACGAUGUCUACUUGGAGGUUGUGCCCUUGAGGCGUGGCUUCCGGAGCUAACGCGUUAAGUAGACCGCCUGGGGAGUACGGCCGCAAGGUUAAAACUCAAAUGAAUUGACGGGGGCCCGCACAAGCGGUGGAGCAUGUGGUUUAAUUCGAUGCAACGCGAAGAACCUUACCUGGUCUUGACAUCCACGGAAGUUUUCAGAGAUGAGAAUGUGCCUUCGGGAACCGUGAGACAGGUGCUGCAUGGCUGUCGUCAGCUCGUGUUGUGAAAUGUUGGGUUAAGUCCCGCAACGAGCGCAACCCUUAUCCUUUGUUGCCAGCGGUCCGGCCGGGAACUCAAAGGAGACUGCCAGUGAUAAACUGGAGGAAGGUGGGGAUGACGUCAAGUCAUCAUGGCCCUUACGACCAGGGCUACACACGUGCUACAAUGGCGCAUACAAAGAGAAGCGACCUCGCGAGAGCAAGCGGACCUCAUAAAGUGCGUCGUAGUCCGGAUUGGAGUCUGCAACUCGACUCCAUGAAGUCGGAAUCGCUAGUAAUCGUGGAUCAGAAUGCCACGGUGAAUACGUUCCCGGGCCUUGUACACACCGCCCGUCACACCAUGGGAGUGGGUUGCAAAAGAAGUAGGUAGCUUAACCUUCGGGAGGGCGCUUACCACUUUGUGAUUCAUGACUGGGGUGAAGUCGUAACAAGGUAACCGUAGGGGAACCUGCGGUUGGAUCACCUCCUUACCUUAAAGAAGCGUACUUUGCAGUGCUCACACAGAUUGUCUGAUGAAAA